AUGCUUGCUUUGGUAGCACAUAUACUAAAGUUGGAACAAUAGACAGAUUGGCAUGGCCUCUGUGCAAGAAAGACAUGCAAAUUUUUGAAGCAUUCCAUAUUUUU
ensembl:snRNA U6 U6 spliceosomal RNA